GCCUGAGCUUUGACCCACACCCCAUCGACCAACUGGCACUGAACUGUUUGCUCGUAGAGGGGGGUGGGUGGCACUCUGAAGGCUAUCCAGCACGAUCCUGCCCUUUCCCUUGGCAAUUCUGUGACACUUUCCAAUCUAAGGCCGACAGAGCAAGGCAACCAGAAUUUUUUCUACAACACCCUCCCAGCAGGCACUCUUGAGUCCUCCGCAAAAGAAUGUGCAGGAUCAGAGGCCUCUUUCCAUUCUGCAAGGGUCACGCAAGACCCAUGGAAUUCAACAGGCAAUCUAGAGACUGUAAAAGGUCGUGACGUCUGGCUUGAGGUUAAUGGAAGUUACAGAGGGUCAAAAGCCGACAGUGAGCGCUACCAGGUGUCGGGUCGGCGUAGUGCCGGCAGUGCAAAGCGCACGUUACUGUGGACCUGAAGGCUCAGGCCUUGAUGCCAAGGCCGCCCUGUGGGCUCAGGAUAGUUUCCCACCUACUCGACUGUAAUUAGUACUCUGGCGAGAGU
ensembl:processed_transcript RIKEN cDNA 1810019D21 gene